rnacentral:rRNA from 1 species
UACAGAGGGGGCAAGCGUUGUUCGGAAUUACUGGGCGUAAAGGGCGCGUAGGCGGUUCGGCAAGUCUUCAGUGAAAUCUCUCGGCUCAACUGAGAGUCUGCUGGGGAAACUGCCGGGCUUGAGUGUGGGAGAGGAGAGUGGAAUUCCUGGUGUAGCGGUGAAAUGCGUAGAUAUCAGGAGGAACACCUGAGGCGAAAGCGGCUCUCUGGACCACAACUGACGCUGAGGCGCGAAAGCUAGGGGAGCAAACAGG